GUACUUUUAACUACAGCUCAUGUGUUGAUUUUGUCUGUGAGUGGAGAAGGGUAUACGGUAUACUGUGAUGCUUCUAGAAUUGGGUUGGAGUGUGUUUUGAUGCAGCACGGUAAGGUGGUGGCUUAUACUUUGACACAGUUAAAGAAGCACGAGCAGAAUUACCCCACUUAUAAUCUGAAAAUGGCAAUUGUUAUCUUUGCACUGAAAAUUUAGAGGCACUACCUAUAUGGUGAAAUGUGCGAGAUAUACAUCAAUCAAAUAAAAAGCUUGAAGUAUA
rnacentral:misc_RNA from 1 species